rnacentral:rRNA from 1 species
CGAGAGACGUAAGGUCUCGGCGGACCGCUCAGUAACACGUGGAUAACAUGCCCUAAGGAGGGGGAUAAUCUCGGGAAACUGAGGGUAAUACCCCAUAGGUCUAUUUUGCUGGAAUGCUAAUAGGCCGAAAACUCCGGUGCCUUAGGAUUGGUCUGCGGUCUAUCAGGCUGUAGUGGGUGUAAUGGACCCACUAGCCCGUGACGGAUAUGGGCCUUGAGAGAGGGAGCCCAGAGAUGGACUCUGAGACAUGAGUCCAGGCCCUACGGGGCGCAGCAGUCGCGAAAACUUCGCAAUGGGGGCAACCCCGACGAGGGAAUUCCAAGUGCUAGCACUUUGUGUUAGCUGUUCUUCUGUCUAAAAAACAGGAGGAGUAAGGGGCGGGUAAGACGGGUGCCAGCCGCCGCGGUAAUACCCGCGCCCCAAGUGGUGGUCGAUAUUAUUGAGCCUAAAACGUCCGUAGCCGGUCUUCUAAAUCCUUGGGUAAAUCGGGCAGCUUAACUGUCCGAAGUCCGGGGAGACUGGGAGACUUGGGACCGGGAGAGGUCAGAGGUACUUCUGGGGUAGGGGUAAAAUCCUGUAAUCCUGGAAGGACCACCGGUGGCGAAGGCGUCUGACUAGAACGGAUCCGACGGUGAGGGACGAAGCCCUGGGGCGCAAACGGGAUUAGAUACNNCGGUAGUCCAGGGUGUAAACGCUGCGGGCUUGGUGUUGGGGGUCCUUAGUGGGCGCCCAGUGCCGGAGAGAAGUUGUUAAGCCUGCUGCUUGGGGAGUAUGUCCGCAAGGAUGAAACUUAA